GAUGAACGCUAGCGGCAGGCUUAACACAUGCAAGUCGAGGGGCAUCGCGGGUAGCAAUACCUGGCGGCGACCGGCGAAAGGGUGAGUAACGCGUGAGCAACGUGCCCGUCUGUGGGGGAUAGUCAUUGGAAACGAUGCGUAAUACCCCGUAAUAUACGGAACCGCAUGAUUCUGUAUUGAAAGAUUGAUUGCAGACGGAUCGGCUCGCGUACCAUUAGGUAGACGGCGGGGUAACGGCCCACCGUGCCGACGAUGGUUAGGGGUUCUGAGAGGAAGGUCCCCCACAUUGGAACUGAGACACGGUCCAGACUCC
rnacentral:rRNA from 1 species